AGGAGGAACAACCGCAGUGGCAGGGCCAGCUCUGCAGCCCUGGAGUCAGCUCCCGCAGUAGCUCCGGAGCUCUCCGUCUGCAGGGCCUGGAGGCUCCGGGGCGGG
rnacentral:pre_miRNA from 1 species